UCGCCAGCUUAGCGCUAACCUCCUCCUCGUUCCCUAGAAAGCAGCUAACCUCCCCGCGUACCCACCUCCUCCCAGAUUUUUCUAUCCCCAAUCUCUCUCUCUCUCUCAUCCCCAAUUCCCCUCUCAGCCGAGCUCCAUGACCACGCCGCUGCCUCGGGACCACUGACUCCGGUUAGCUCCGGUGCUCUCCCGCGAAGUUUCUCACUAGCCCGUCUGUCCCUCGGUGCUCUCCACCGACCCCGCGCCGCCGCGACGUCCUCCGCCCCCUACCGCAACCCUACUGGUCGCCGCAGGUCGCUGGCGCGGCUACCGCGCCUCCUCUGGUUUGUGGCUUGGUCUCGGCGGUGUUGCUCUGCCUUGGCUACCUCACCUCCGACAUUGACGGUUUAGUUCUGAAUUUGACCUUGCUUCAGCCAACAUGCGUGUGGUCGUUCUGUCUCUUAACAGAAACAGAACUCCCUAUUUUUUCCUAGAGAAGCCCAAACAAACCUGUGCCCUUUCAGGGGUCAAGGCCAUGGCUCACGGCUGGGGCUCAUCACAUCUGAAUCUCCGCUUGUGGUACAUGUCCCCAUCUCUGUUGAGGGUGGCGCUACAAGAUCAAAUCGAAACCAGAUCACAUGGCAGCUCGGUCUGAUCAUGCAUUCCUUCAAGGUUGAGUCAGGGCCUAGGUAGGUGUGAUGACGACCACAAGUGGAUCUGGAUUGGAUAGUUGAGUCAGGGCCUAGAUUGCCAAGAUAAAUGGAUGAUGCAUGGCUCAGAUGUUGAUUGCAAGGCCAAGAAUGGGGUUACUAUUAGAUAAUUAUAAUGUCAUUUUCACGAUCAAUGUUUCAAACAUUGUAGUAGAUUGCAAGGUCGAGAAUUAUGAUAAAACUACAUAGUUUCGCAUCUUGUAAUCUUUGGAUCAUGUUCUAUGCAACGCUACACAAUCAAAUUAAUAUACGAGGAAGGUUUAUUA